rnacentral:rRNA from 1 species
GACGAACGCUGGCGGCGUGCUUAACACAUGCAAGUCGAACGAUGAACUUGGAGCUUGCUCUGGGGGAUUAGUGGCGAACGGGUGAGUAACACGUGAGUAACCUGCCCUGGACUCUGGGAUAACUUCGAGAAAUCGGAGCUAAUACCGGAUAGGACCUUGCACCGCAUGGUGUGGGGUGGAAAGUUUUUCGGUUUGGGAUGGACUCGCGGCCUAUCAGCUUGUUGGUGAGGUAAUGGCUCACCAAGGCGUCGACGGGUAGCCGGCCUGAGAGGGUGACCGGCCACACUGGGACUGAGACACGGCCCAGACUCCUCCGGGAGGCAGGAGUGGGGAAUAUUGCACAAUGGGCGCAAGCCUGAUGCAGCAACGCCGCGUGCGGGAUGACGGCCUUCGGGUUGUAAACCGCUUUUAGUAGGGAAGAAGCCUUCGGGUGACGGUACCUGCAGAAAAAGGACAGGCUAACUACGUGCCAGCAGCCGCCGUAACAC